rnacentral:pre_miRNA from 7 species
UCUUAUGGAUGAGCAAAGAAAGUGGUUUCUUGAGAUAGAAUAUACUCCUGGUGAAGAUGCUGUGAA